rnacentral:rRNA from 1 species
UACGUAGGGGGCAAGCGUUGUCCGGAUUCAUUGGGCGUAAAGAGCGUGUAGGCGGCCAGGUAGGUCGGUUGUGAAAACUGGAGGCUCAACCUUCAGAGGUCGACCGAAACCAUCUGGCUAGAGUCCGGGAGAGGAUGGUGGAAUUCCCGGUGUAGCGGUGAAAUGCGUAGAGAUCGGGAGGAACAUCAGUGGCGAAGGCGGCCAUCUGGGACAACACUGACGCUGAAGCACGAAAGCGUGGGGAGCAAACAGG